rnacentral:rRNA from 1 species
UGGGGAAUUUUGGACAAUGGGCGAAAGCCUGAUCCAGCCAUGCCGCGUGAGUGAAGAAGGCCUUCGGGUUGUAAAGCUCUUUUAGUCGGAAAGAAAGAGUUGCAAUGAGUAAUUGUGAUUUAUGACGGUACCGACAGAAAAAGCACCGGCUAACUACGUGCCAGCAGCCGCGGUAAUACGUAGGGUGCGAGCGUUAAUCGGAAUUACUGGGCGUAAAGGGUGCGCAGGCGGUCUUGCAAGUCAGAUGUGAAAGCCCCGGGCUUAACCUGGGAAUUGCGUUUGAAACUACAAGGCUAGAGUGCAGCAGAGGGGAGUGGAAUUCCAUGUGUAGCAGUGAAAUGCGUAGAGAUGUGGAAGAACACCGAUGGCGAAGGCAGCUCCCUGGGUUGACACUGACGCUCAUGCACGAAAGCGUGGGGAGCAAACA